GUCUAUUGUACCCUGUUGCUUCGGCGGGCCCGCCGCUUGUCGGCCGCCGGGGGGGCGCCUCUGCCCCCCGGGCCCGUGCCCGCCGGAGACCCCAACACGAACACUGUCUGAAAGCGUGCAGUCUGAGUUGAUUGAAUGCAAUCAGUUAAAACUUUCAACAAUGGAUCUCUUGGUUCCGGCAUCGAUGAAGAACGCAGCGAAAUGCGAUAACUAAUGUGAAUUGCAGAAUUCAGUGAAUCAUCGAGUCUUUGAACGCACAUUGCGCCCCCUGGUAUUCCGGGGGGCAUGCCUGUCCGAGCGUCAUUGCUGCCCUCAAGCCCGGCUUGUGUGUUGGGUCGCCGUCCCCCUCUCCGGGGGGACGGGCCCGAAAGGCAGCGGCGGCACCGCGUCCGAUCCUCGAGCGUAUGGGGCUUUGUCACAUGCUCUGUAGGAUUGGCCGGCGCCUGCCGACGUUUUCCAACCAUUCUUUCCAGGUUGACCUCGGAUCAGGUAGGGAUACCCGCUGAACUUAA
rnacentral:rRNA from 1 species